CACUCAUAUUAGCAAUACAAAAUAGAGAGUUGGACAAAAACGGACCCCUGGAUAUACCAGCGGUGGGAUAAGGUACCUAGGAGGAGUAAGCAUCUCCUGUCGGCCGGUCACAUCCUCCACGAAUGCUAUAUCUUGAUCAGGUGCCAUGCAUUUAGCGAAGGAGCAUUUACUACAUUUACCUAGGUUUGACGUAGCCUUGGCACGAGCGGAACUCACUGACGACCUCCCGUUCACGAAGCGAAUGCUCUACCAUUGAGCUACGGGGACCAGUACUGCGCUUAGUCACUAACCAUCUAAAUUGUGUCAAUUGAGUAAAUAGUUCUGGCUUUGUAUGGACUAAAUGAAUAAUAGUUGAAACCAGGUUUCGUAAAAAAUCUGCUUUGAGUAUAAUAAAUGGAAAGUCCUCC